rnacentral:lncRNA from 1 species
GUCACGCACAGCAGCCUGGAAGGAGCUGGCAUUUGUUGGGAAAGGGCAAAAAGACCAGCCAGAAGGCCACUGAGGACCCGCUCUGGUGUCCAGGGAGCUGAGGGCCCUGGGGGAGGAGGGCAGGAAUGGUCUUUACACCAGUUCUCCCCGCUUCUGUGCCAGGGGCCUUGGAUCCAUGAUGAGGAGGCUGGAAAUGAUUGAGCUACUUUUGGUAUAAAUGCUUCUUUUGAAUAUUUUUCAAUAAAGCUGAAGAAAGAAGGAACCAAUCUAUCUUGAUGACUCCUAAUGCUUGAGAGACUGGGUAGCCACACCUUCCCCCAAGCAGAGGUAAAAGCAAGAGAGAGGUGGAGGAG